rfam:Triticum aestivum genome assembly, contig: Triticum_aestivum_CS42_TGACv1_scaffold_159291_2DL
GUGAUACUCCCUCCGUCCGGAAAUACUUGUCGUGGAAAUGGAUACAAAUGGAUGUAUUUAAAACUAAAAUACAUCUAGAUACAUCCAUUCCUCGGACAAGUAUUUCCAGAGUGAGGGAGUACUAU